ACCUGCGGAGGAUCAUUAUCGAAUCGUAGGCGAGGGUUGUCGCUGGCCUCUCGGGGCAUGUGCACGCCCGAGCCCUUGAAUCCCAAACACCACAUGUGAACCCACCGUAGGCCUUCGGGCCUAUGUCUUAUCAUAUAAUCUGAAUGUCUAAUAGAAUGUAAACCCAUUUCGUUGCCUUGAAAACGUAACGAAAGAAAACUAUACAACUUUCAACAACGGAUCUCUUGGCUCUCGCAUCGAUGAAGAACGCAGCGAAAUGCGAUAAGUAAUGUGAAUUGCAGAUUUUCAGUGAAUCAUCGAAUCUUUGAACGCACCUUGCGCCCCUUGGUAUUCCGAGGGGCAUGCCUGUUUGAGUGUCAUUAAAUCCUCAACCCCUCCGAUUCGUUUCGGUGGGGAUUGGACUUGGAGCGUGCUGGCGAAGGUCGGCUCCUCUUUAAAUGCAUCAGCGGAGAAAAUGCCUUUUGCGCCUCUGGCCGUUCAGCGUGAUAAUGAUGUUGCGCUGCGGUCGAGCUUAAGGUCCGCUUCCAAAGGUCCUCUCAGACAUAAUCUUCUUAUGACUUUCGACCUCACAUGUAGGACGACGACCCGCUGAUGUGCAGCAUAUCAAGCGGCGGAGGAGAAGAUACUAACGAGGAUGCUCCUAGCUGCUGCUAGUGAAGCAAGAGCACAUCUUUUUAUAAGCUGGUCGUCUGCCGUCGUACUAGUAUAUGUGGAGA
rnacentral:rRNA from 1 species